AACGAACGCUGGCGGCAGGCCUAACACAUGCAAGUCGAGCGAGGACUUCGGUUCUAGCGGCGGACGGGUGAGUAACGCGUGGGAAUGUGCCCUUCUCUACGGAAUAGCCCUGGGAAACUGGGAGUAAUACCGUAUACGCCCUAUUGGGGAAAGAUUUAUCGGAGAAGGAUCAGCCCGCGUUGGAUUAGGUAGUUGGUGGGGUAAUGGCCUACCAAGCCGACGAUCCAUAGCUGGUUUGAGAGGAUGAUCAGCCACACUGGGACUGAGGCACGGCCCAGACUCCUACGGGAGGCAGCAGUAGGGAAUCUUAGACAAUGGGGGCAACCCUGAUCUAGCCAUGCCGCGUGAGAGAUGAAGGCCUUAGAGUUGUAAAGCUCUUUCAGCUGGGAAGAUAAUGACGGUACCAGCAGAAGAAGCCCCGGCUAACUCCGUG
rnacentral:rRNA from 1 species